rnacentral:rRNA from 1 species
GACGAACGCUGGCGGCGUGCUUAACACAUGCAAGUCGAGCGAUGAAGCACCUUCGGGUGUGAAUUAGCGGCGAACGGGUGAGGAACACGUGAGAAAUCUGCCUUCAACACUGGGAUAACUCCGGGAAACCGGGGCUAAUACCGGAUAUGAAACCCUGCGGGCAUCCGCGGGUUUGGAAAGUUUUUCGGUUGAAGAUGAUCUCGCGGCCUAUCAGCUUGUUGGUGAGGUAAUGGCUCACCAAGGCGACGACGGGUAGCCGGCCUGAGAGGGCGACCGGCCACACUGGGACUGAGACACGGCCCAGACUCCUACGGGAGGCAGCAGUGGGGAAUAUUGGGGCAAUGGAGGAAACUCUGACCCCAGCGACGCCGCGUGCGGGAUGAAGGCCUCGGGUUGUAAACCGCUUUCAGCAGGGAAGAA